AACGAACGCUGGCGGCAGGCUUAACACAUGCAAGUCGAACGCGAAAUCACCUUCGGGUGGUGGAGAGUGGCAGACGGGUGAGUAACGCGUGGGAACCUACCUAGUGGUACGGAAUAACUCAGGGAAACUUGGGCUAAUACCGUAUGUGCCCGAAAGGGGAAAGAUUCAUCGCCACUAGAUGGGCCCGCGUCGGAUUAGCUUGUUGGUGAGGUAACGGCUCACCAAGGCGACGAUCCGUAGCUGGUCUGAGAGGAUGAUCAGCCACACUGGGACUGAGACACGGCCCAGACUCAUACGGGAGGCAGCAGUGGGGAAUAUUGGACAAUGGGCGCAAGCCUGAUCCAGCCAUGCCGCGUGAGUGAUGAAGGCCCUAGGGUUGUAAAGCUCUUUCGGCGGGGACGAUAAUGACGGUACCCGCAGAAGAAGCCCCGGCUAACUUCGUGCCAGCAGCCGCCGCGG
rnacentral:rRNA from 1 species